AGGUCAAACUGGUAAAGUGUUUGCAGCACAAGUGGGUGAAUUCAUGAAAGCAGAAACUAAAGUUGUUAAUGAGCUGAUCCGUUCGAGCAGACUAAAAGUGGUGGUUUACAGUGGACAACUGGACCUUAUUGUGGCAACCUUAGGUACUGAAAAAUGGGUGGAUGAUAUGGACAUUGCCAUGGUCUUUAAAAACACCAAAAGAAGAAUUCUUGUUGAUCCAAUCACAUAAACUGUUAUGGUAUAUAAAAGAAGCCUAAAAAAUUUCUCAUUCUACUGAAUAUUAAAUGCAGGUCACAUGAUUCCAUCAGAUAAUCCAACUGGUGCAUUGCAAAUUAAUUUUAGCUUGAGCUUAACAGAAAUGUCAAGCCUAACAAGCCAUCAAGACGGUCACUUCCAGGACCUGAGUAUUUCGGAAGCAUCUCAAACCUACUUUAUUCUCCAGUGAAAAUUGCCACAAAUAAAUGCGUCAAAGAUUU